CCAAUAGCAUAUAUUAAAGUUGUUGCAGUUAAAAAGCUCGUAGUUGGAUUUCUGGGUUUGCUUUCUGAUCCUGAAUGGUAAUUUAAGCGGCCCAUCAGCCUGGCAACAGGCCAUUACUGUGAGAAAAUUAGAGUGUUUCAAGCAGGUUAUGCAGGAAUACAUUAGCAUGGAAUAAUAUCAAACAGCUAGAAUGUUGGUCAAGUUCUAGAGUGUGAUUAAUAGGGAUAGUUGGGGGCAUUAGUACUUAAUUGUCAGAGGUGAAAUUCUUGGAUUUUUUAAAGACUAACUUAUGCGAAAGCAUUUGCCAAGGAUGUUUUCAUUAA
rnacentral:rRNA from 1 species